GCCGGAAGUGGGGAAUACCUCGGGGAAACUCGAGCUAAUGCCGCAUAACAUCUUCGGGACGAAAGUCCUGGUGAUCAAAGCGGGGUCGCAAGAUCUCGCGCUACCGGAUGGGCCCGCGCCCGAUUAGCUAGUCGGUGAGGUAAUGGCUCACCAAGGCAACGAUCGGUAGCCGGCCUGAGAGGGUGAUCGGCCACACCGGAACUGAGACACGGUCCGG
rnacentral:rRNA from 1 species